ensembl:lncRNA
UGUUUUUGUCACCAAGGUCAAGGUCUUGCUACAAAAGUAAAGCACAGUUCAGCUAGACUGGAAGUGUGGAAGGCCAAAUAGGCAACUCCAGAUGAGUUUACGUGCUCUGGUAGAAAGAGGGAGAAAUAUGGAAAGGAACAGGCAAAAAUCUGCGUUUCUCAGUGAAAGUACAAAGUUACCACAGGUGAGGAGAGCAUCAUAAAUUGGGCGUCAUUGGGCAUACCUUUUACAGCUGGAAACAAAAAUAAACAGAACAUUUCAAACAGCAAACCUUUAUUUUUAUAUAAUUACUGUUAAAAGCACAUGAAUCCCAAGUUGUAAAAAUAAGUGUUGCGCAUAUAUUAACGCUUAUUUAGCGCAAUCUCUUUUUUCGCAUCGUCAUGCAGGCUGUGAUAGGUGAAUAAUGGGCUCCAAGAGUGGCUGAAAAUCCAAGAUCUUCCACUCCUGCAACAGUUUGCUGUAUAAUGUAAUAAGACAUCACAGACAGGAGAGUGAAAUCUCACUGAAGAAUCAAAACGGUUCCUUCAAAGUGACACGGAAAUCAAAAGGCCAUGUGUAAGUAUGCGUGCAUGCGUGUGUGUGGCACACACGGUGUAUAUCCUCGGCUAUGUGCCAGAUCUGGAGUGACGGCUGAGAUUUCCAAUACAUCUGCGUAUGCAAAAAAAAAAGAAAAAAGUGUGAAUGUGCAUGUGCGAGUGCACACACGUCUCUGGCACCCCUGCAGGUCUGUGGAAGCACACAUGGGUAUUUCAUGGUGAAGUUGCUGUGCUUCAUCACAUGCUUGGCAGCCACACCCCCUGGCAUAUUCCCCUGAGAUCUGAUAAGAAGUGUGUGUGUGUGUGUGUGUGUGUGUGUGUGUGGUCGAUUGCUGUGUGUUUUGUGUUUUAAUGGUAUGACAUUCCUCCUUAACGCAGGUGGCCCCGCAAUCUGAAAAUCCUUCCUCCUUAGACGCUCAUCUGUGUUUAGUGCCACCCCCUGCCGCGCCCCCGUGUAACCCCCCAUUUCCCAGCGCCUCCCACCGCACCUCGCCCACCCACAUCGCCCCUCCUCCUACGGCAACACGUGCCCCCUGUUAGUGCCAACAUGCCCUCGUCUUCCCCGCCACCCACCCCCAUCUCC